AUGGAAUGGAUCCAUGCCAGGAUUCACUUUUCCUUCCCAUGCUGGUUCCAGUCCAGUAAACUGUCACAGUCUGGGAAAUUCUGUCACUGGUGAUGCCGCAGAAAGAAAACACUAUGGAUGCACAUGAUGCUACUUCCUGGAUGGUGCUGAGCCUGUUUGUCAACAUGUGGAACCCAUGUGUACUUGAGGGAGUUGUCUCCCUUGAUAAAGUUCAACAAUGGCGGAUAAACAAUGUGGGAUGCUGUCUUGUCAACAACAGUGAAAUUUGACACCUGUAUACCCGUAUUUCUACCAAUUGUCUCAGUCUUCUUUGUUGUGUACAUCAGACAGAUGAUGGACCACUCUACUUCUUUUCACAACAGGUGCCCCUACAGAUUCACAAAGUUCCAAUGUUGAAUGUCCAUGACCCUGGUUGAUCCGCGACAGGAAAAGGAAUAAAGUUGGCAGGAAUUUCCGCACUGUCUUUGGUAGCAGCUGAUGAUGGAACUGACAGCAGUUGACAUGGCCUGUUUCUUCAAAGAUGCACCAGAAGCAGCAGCACUAUCUCCAUCACUGGUGAAAUGGGAAAUGACAAGUGGACGGUCAUCACUUUGCAGCUCAACGAUGCAUUCCGCAGCCCAUCUCUUUUCAUCUUCUAUGGUGAUCUCAGGAGGAAUG